CCCAUCAAUGCAUCGCAUGCUACAUCCAUUUUCUAAAUCGUUACCAGAGGCAGCUGUUUCUCCAUGUAAUUCUUUCCUCACUGUUAUUCCUCGGUUAAUUGUCCUCCCUUCAGGAAGGUCCUCCCGCGAGCAGACCGCGAAGGCUCCUCAUUCUCCUUCAACUGCGUCAUCUUCACCCUCCUCUCCGGCUAGGAUGCUUCACCUUGUUUCACCCUCUCAGCUAUCGAGCCUUCCUUGGACGACUGGUACCGCGGCCUUGGUCUGUUCGUCGUCUC
rnacentral:lncRNA from 1 species